rnacentral:pre_miRNA from 1 species
AUUCUACUCCCUCCGUUCCACAAUACAUGCCUUCUAUUUGUCAAAAUAUAGAUGUAUCUAGACAUGUUUUAGUAUAUAGGUACAUCCAUUUCUGGACAAAUGGAAGUCAAGUAUUUUGGAACGGAGGGAGUACACA